rnacentral:rRNA from 1 species
CGCCUGUUUAUCAAAAACAUCGCCUCUUGCUUUACAUAAGAGGUCCCGCCUGCCCUGUGACUUAGUUUAACGGCCGCGGUAUUAUAACCGUGCGAAGGUAGCAUAAUAAAUUGUUCUCUAAAUAAGGACUAGUAUGAAAGGCAUCACGAGGGCUUAACUGUCUCCCUUUUUCAAUCAAUGAAACUGAUCUUCUCGUGAAGAAGCGAGAAUAAAUUUAUAAGACGAGAAGACCCCAUGGAGCUUUAAACUUCUCACCACUUAUUUAUCAUUACACCACUAUAUAUAAUAAAAAUGUUAAUUGAAAGUUUUCGGCUGGGGUGACCCUGGAGAAAAAUAAAUCCUCCAGGAUGAACGGAAUAAAAUCCUAAUCAAAGAGCUACAGCUCUAAGAAUCAAAACACUGACAUCAUUGACCCAACCAUUUGAUCAACGAACCAAGUUACCCUGGGGAUAACAGCGCAAUCCAUUUCAAGAGCCCCUAUCGACAAAUGGGUUUACGACCUCGAUGUUGGAUCGGGGUAUCCCAGUGGCGCAGCCGCUACUAAAGGUUCGUUUGUUCAACGAUUAAUAACCCCACGUGAUCUGAGUUCAGACCGGA